rnacentral:tRNA from 1 species
AAGGAUUUAAGUUAAACUAAACUAAUAGCCUUCAAAGCUAUAAAUAAAAAGAUAUUUUUAAGCCUUA